AUUUGAUCUUUAUUCUUUUCGAAACUUUGGUUUUAGUCCUCUAAAACUAACACCUUUAAAAAUUACCUGACGUGGCUAACGGUAGACUGACACACGAUUUUUUUUUUCAGUGUUUCUCACCUUUUCUCCCCUUUUCUCUCUUCCUUCCAUCUUUCACCCAACUUCAUCUUUCACAACCAGCUUUCUUUCCUUCAUAACUCUUCCCUCUCGCAACCUCCACGCAUAUCCCAGCUGAAUGUAUCCUUGUUCUUGCUGCGACCAAUAGGCCGUUUGACCUGGAUGAAGCAAUAAUUAGGAGAUUUGAAAGGAGCCCAGAACGACAGCAACAGCACGCAGAGCAGAACAACGCUGCUAUGGAUCUGAUAAAUAGUGUUGUAGGUGUUGAUGAUGAAGGUCGGUCCCGACAGAGGAUUCUAACAUUUGCUGCCAGGAGAACUUGUGUACAACUGCUGCUUACAGACCUCUUAGAGAGUUAAUUCAACAAGAGAGGGAAGAUGGAAGGAAGAGAGAGAAGGGGAGAAAAGGUGAGAAACACUUGAAAAAAAAACCGUGUGUCAGUCUAUCGUUAGCCACGUCAGGUAAUUUUUAACGGUGUUAGUUUUAGAGGACUAAAACCAAAGUUUCAAAAAGAAUGAGGACCAAAUUGUACCUUAUUUUGAAAAAGGGACGAAAACCAGAAACGGCCAAUAAUUUAGGGACUAAAAACAUA